rnacentral:rRNA from 1 species
AACGAACGCUGGCGGCAUGCCUAACACAUGCAAGUCGAACGAGACCUUCGGGCCUAGUGGCGCACGGGUGCGUAACGCGUGGGAACCUGCCCUUAGGUUCGGAAUAACUCCCCGAAAGGGGUGCUAAUACCGGAUAAUGUCUUCGGACCAAAGAUUUAUCGCCUUUGGAUGGGCCCGCGUUGGAUUAGCUAGUUGGUAGGGUAAAAGCCUACCAAGGCGACGAUCCAUAGCUGGUCUGAGAGGAUGAUCAGCCACACUGGGACUGAGACACGGCCCAGACUCCUACGGGAGGCAGCAGUGGGGAAUAUUGGACAAUGGGCGAAAGCCUGAUCCAGCAAUGCCGCGUGAGUGAUGAAGGCCUUAGGGUUGUAAAGCUCUUUUACCCGGGAUGAUAAUGACAGUACCGGGAGAAUAAGCUCCGGCUAACUUCGUG